rnacentral:rRNA from 1 species
CCUACGGGUGGCAGCAGUGGGGGAUAUUGCACAAUGGGGGAAACCCUGAUGCAGCGAUGCCGCGUGAAUGAAGACGGCCUUCGGGUCGUAAAGCUCUGUCGUAGGGGACGAAAAUGACGGUACCCUGCAAGUACGCACCGGCAAACUACGUUCCAGCAGCCGCGGUAAUACGUAGGGAGCAAGCGCUGUGCGGAAGUACUGGGUGUAAAGGGAGCGUGGGCGGGAGGAUAAUUUGAAUGUUAAAUGUAUGGGCUCAACCCAAAAGUGCGUUGAAAACUGUUAACCUUGAGUGAAGGAGGGGCAGGCGGAAUUCCUAGUGUAGCGGUGAAAUGCGUAGAUAUUAGGAGGAACACCAGUGGCGAAGGCGGCCUGCUGGGCUUUUACUGACGCUGAGGCUCGAAAGCGUGGGUAGCAAACAGGAUUAGAUACCCCUGUAGUC